rnacentral:lncRNA from 1 species
CAUAUCUGACGUGAUAUUAGCCUGGAGUUUUCAUGGAACUGUGCUUAAUCCUGAUGCCAUUGGUUGGUAUCCAUAUUUAUCCUAAACCAAAAAGCAUCCAUAUACCCCAUUGUUGUGUUUGUUGCUUUAUCCAAAGCAUAAUUCCUGGGCUUUAUUUGUCCUGUGGGUGAUUGUUGUUUCUCCCAGUGAUUUUUAAAAUUUUGAAUUUGUUUCUCUUUAGAUGACGUGUACACCCUCCAGCUGUUCCCAUUCCCCACCAUCCAUUCCCUAUCAUCUGACACUAGCUUCCCUCAGUUACUUUGUCUGCCUGACUCCUGUGGCCAUUUGCCUUUGCAUUCUUCUUUUGCACAGUGUGAUGAUUAAUUUUAUGCACUACUUGGCAAGGCCAUGGUACUCAGAUAGUUGCUCAAACACCAGUCUAGAUGUCACUGUGGAAGUGUUUUAGGUAAGAUUAACAUUUAAAGCAAUAGACAUUGAGUAAACCAGGUAACCCUCCAUAAUGUGGGUGGGCCUCAUCUAAUCAGUUGAAGACCUUACAAGGAAAAGACUGAGAUCCCCUGAAGAAGAGAGUUUCUGCCUCAUACUGUCUUUGAACUCAAGCUGCAACAUCAGCUCUUCCUCCGAUCUCCAACCUCCUGGGCUUCCCAGUAGAAUUUGGAGUUGUCAGCCCCUGUAAUCAUGUGAGUAAUUUCUUCAAAAGAAUCUCUCUCUCUUUCUUUCUCUUUCUCUUUCUUUCACUCCAGAUAUAGCUAUUGAUCAAUCAGUUGAUCGAUAGAUAGAUAUAUAUCCACACCCAUUGGUUCUGUUUUCUGGAGAUCCCUGCCUAAUAUACACAAUGAGCUGUUUAUAGAGAACCGUAAGAACUAACAGUCGAUUUGCUUCAUCUUGUGGUUGCUGAGUCAUGUGAGUGAAGAGAUUCCCCUCUUUGCAUUGACUUGAAAAGCAUAGAACCAAGGGUUCCCUUAAUCCUUAGUUGGGUUAAGGAUUCAGCAUUGUUACUGCUAUGGUUUAGGUUGCUGCUGUGGCUUGGGUAUGAUCUCUGGCCUGGGAACUUUCACAUGUUGCAGGUGUGGCCAAAAUAAAUAAAUAGAUAAAAACUUGGAACCAUAUCUGUGUCUUAACUUUAGCAGGUUUAGCAAAUAAAUAGUGAAGGAUGCAGGCUGCAUAUCACUGAUAGGGGAGGCAUACUAGGGCAAAGUGGUAGGGAUACCAAGUUUGGGUUAUACUGGGAGGGCAUUUGGUUCCCAUAUUUAGUUUGAAUCCACACCCCCACCUCCUGUCUUUGGUAAGUGUCUCUGUCUGUUGGGCUGUUACAACAAAAUACUGCAGACUGGGCAACUUAUAAACAAUCCAGUCCUGGUAUUUGCAUCAGAGAAAUAAAAGCACACAUUCACACAAAGAUUUGUAUAUAAAUCUCCAUAGCAACUCUAUUUAGAAUAACCCCAACCUGGGAACAACCUGCAUGUUUGACAGGUGAAUAGAAAAACAAAUGAUGAAACAUCCGUACAAUGGAACACUGUUCAGCAAUACAUAUGAAUGAUCUAUUGACACGUGCAACAGAUGGAUGAAUCUCAGAGUAAUUUUGUUGAGUGAAAGGAAAAAGUAUAUGGGGAGAGCAGUCUGGAGGGUUGAUUAACAGUCAGGUGUGGGUACAAAGGGUCAUACUGAUGGGGCUGGGGUGGAAGACUCUCUAGAAAUCAUCACCUCCCUUCUCUUGCCUGAAACCAGUAGGAUGAGAUCACCUCCCUUUUCAAGGAUUUGGGGAAAUUGGAAUACACGUUUGGGGACUUAUGUGGUCCAUAACACUAGCCUGUAUUUGUAUGUUUACUCAAUGUCACGGAGACCCCUACAUGGUGGUGUACUAUGCUCAGAACACAUUUAAGAUAAAACCACUCAGCAUGGUAGUCCUGAAAACAGUCAUCUGAGAGUUUACAAAACUCUAUAGUCAGGAAGGAAAUUAUGUCCCCCAGUACUUCCAUGAGGAACUCAUUUCGGUCACCUGUCUUAGAGAUGACAAAAGAGUGGUGGAAAAAGAAAUUCUAAUACAAGUUGUUUCUGGAAAAUCUUAGGAGCAGAGUUUCUCUUGAUUGAUUUUCUAGACUCAGCUAGAAAUACUAAUCUGGUAUCUUGUAAGAUGCAUAUUGGGGUCAGAUAGACUAGGAACCAUGAGGUUGCAGGUUCAAUCCCUGGCCUCGCUCAGUGGGUUCAUAAGGAUCUGGCAUUGCCAUGAGCUGCGGUGUAGGUCGAAGAUGAGGCUCGGAUCCUGUAUUGCUGUGGCUGUGGCCUAGGCCGGCAGCUGUAGCUCCGAUUUGACCCCUAGCCUGGGAACCUUCAUAUGCAGUGGGUUUGGCCCUAAAACGACAAAAAGAGAGAGAGAGAAAAGGGGAGAUCCUAUUGUGGCCCAGCAGGUUAAAAACCUGCCUAGUACCCAUGAGGAUUCGGAGUUCCGUCCCUGGCCUUGCACAGUGGGUUAAGGAUCCAGCGUUGCUGUGAGCUAUGGUGUAGGUCAAAGACCUGGCUUGGAUCCCUCGUUGGUGUGACUGUGGUAUAGGCUGGCAGCUGUAGCUCUGAUUCAACCCCUAGCCGGAGAACUUCCAUAUGCCAUGGGCGUGGCCCUUGAAAAAAAAGAGAGAGAGAGAGAAAAGGCCCCAGAACAGCCCUGAGCACCAAAGUGGAGAGACGGGACCAAGGAAAGUUGAACUUGCAAAAAUAACGAGGGGCUUUCGCUGAAGGUGAAGGAGAAUUGGGUGUGUGGCGUCACAGAAGCAAAAGAAACAUCACGAGGACCAGCCAGCUCGGGACACACUCAAUGAGAGUUAGUGUCCCCCUGAUGGAAAUAACAUCAUUCCUUUAUUUUAGGUCUUUCAGAGGAUAUAACAUUACCUUUUAUCCCAGCAUAAAUUCUCCUUGCAAUGGCAUUUUUUACCUCUUUCAUGUGUCUUUCAAGGUUGAAACAUGGAGCCCUGAAGAGCCGCGGGUUGGUCCCUCCUCUUCGAAAGCAUCCAUUUGCCAGCUUGCAGACCCACCAAGCGAAGGUUUCUUUUUUUCCGCCUGCGGGUCACGUGAUUUAAUUUGCCUGAGUAACCUGCUGUCAUAGGUUUUCACAGAGUCCUGACGUCUAACAGAGUAAUUAAUGCUUUAGGCUUCUAGGAACUGUUUCAGGAUUUUAUUCAUCACCGUUGUGUGAUUGCACAUAUGAAUUAUGAAGGAGUUAUUUUGGUAGUCGGAGUUCCCCUUCAGAAAAAUUUCCGUAUUUGUUCAUUAUGAACUGAUAGCCUGGAGAAGAGGAAUAAAAACGGAGACCAUUCCCUGCGUCCUAUGCAGACAUUUCAAAUUAUCCAGUCAGGAUGACUUCAUGGUAUGAGGACGGAGUGUGAGUUGUUUGAAGCUGGGAGUUAAAUGCUUUCUCUUUCCCUCACUGUAAAUUAAUUAGAGAGUCUCUGCCAUUGGCUCCAGUGUAUGGAUUUUGUGAACUGUUUAAAGAAUGCGUGAACAUCAGAAGGAAUCAGUGCCUUUCGUUUGAUUCCCGUUACUGGAAGGAUCCACCCCUAGGACCCCCCCUGAUAAGUGUGCUCACCUUUGGGGGAGUAUUUCAGGAGACAGAGGGUAUCCAGGGAAAAUAUUGGGGAUUUUCAAAAUUCUGUGAUUGUAUUUGAGAUCAGGGUAGAAAAAAGCAAGGUGAUAGGUGGUGUCUGUCUGAUCCUGAGGAUGCGAUCCGAGGUGUGAAGAAUGAAACCACAAUCACUGUUUUCUUUGAAACGCCUCCCCUAAGACUCCCCCCCACACACCGCCUCCGCCCUGCCCCAUCUUUGCAGGUUUUUGGCGCAAAUGCUGAGGUGGCGGCGGGUGGAUUCUGCUGGCCAUUUUCCUUUGCCAUGUAGGCUUCCCCUGUGUUUACAGGAAAUUUUACUCCGCGCCUUUUAUCCUGGCAAGAGAAAACUUGCUGCUUUUCUCAGAACAGGGCUCUUUUCGCUGAUGAGAGUGAUUUUCUGUGAUUCCGCCCUACUUGGGGAAGAUUUUUGAGACUUCAAAUAAAAGACCAAGUAGUUGUAUCUGUGUAUGGAUGGAGGCAGCCACUCUGCUUAGAAUCCAGUGCCCUGACUAUUGAGUGAAAAUACCUGUUAUUGCUCUAACUGCCAUUUUUUGCUCUUGCCAAGUGGCCGGUGGGGAUGAGGAGUCGGGGAAGGAGCUGGGCUGGGCAGGAGGAAGUCCAUUUGCGAAGUCCAUUUGCAAAGUCCACAGCAGAAGGAUUCAGGCGGAGCAGCAGACACCCGAUCUGAAUUCUGUAGCGAUAAGAGGAGGAUUCGACCCGGGGCAGCUGGGCCACCGUGCUCAUUCUGCAGUAGCAUGCUGUGACAGACUAAUCUGAUGGCAUUUUCAUCUUAAUUUACUUGCCUCCUGCUUUUUGUACGUAACAGCAUUUCUGCCAAAGGUGAUACAUUUGCUAAAGCUUAACAUUCAGAUUCUUUCCUCAUAUGAGUGUUAUAUAAUUAUACAUACAUUUGGGCCCGAAGGUCCCCGGCUAACAAAUUCCCUUUGCAGGAGUACCGUUUGAGGGCCCAUUCUCUCAUUAAUUUUAUUUGACAUUUAUGUCAACAUUACAUUCCUAGCCUCAAAGGAGAACUCACACAUGCACGCGCAGGGGUGUGUUUUCAAGCGGAGUAUUUGGUUUGGCAGUGAAAAGCAGUCAGCAAGGUCUGCGGAAGCAGAAUGUUCUGAGUUAAUACAGAGUAGUCGAACUGCCCCAAAUUGAAGUUGUUGAACAAAGCGCUAAGUGGCCCCCUGCACGUGGCCGUUUUGCUACUUUGAGCAUUUUUCCUCUCGGGGCUCCCAGACUUCACUGACGUGGUGUUUCUGGCCAGUUCCCUGGAGAGUCAUCCGACGUGAAGAAAUGAGCUGAAAAUAAGUCACGAUGGUGUCAGGAGUGGGAGUUGUAAACAUCGAAGCCCCGCUUCUUCUCCCACUGCACUAACUUCAGACCAAGGAGUUUCUCAGCGAAACCCUGGGCCGGUCCAGCCUCCCAGCGCUGCUGAGUGUAAGUUCCACAAACACGGCCUCUGAGGUGGGAGGGCACCGGGAAGCCCAUCCAAACCGCCGGAGUUACGUUAGUUCUCAGACCACGUGGCCGUGGCAUUGCUUAGUGCUUUCAAAAGAAGACAGAAGCGUGAUCUGGGGUUGUUAACCCCAAACAAACAAACAAACAAAAGCGAUUGUUAGGGAGCGCUGCUGUGCUCCAACCUCGGGUCUAGGCGGGAUGCCGAGUCUGUGGACUGCUCAAGAGAGGAAGGGAGUCAGCCGUAAGCAGCAUCCGAGGGUCUGAACGUGGCAGUUCCUUUUGGUUCCAGAAUGCUGACUUUGACAUACUUUGUGGUUUGGUGUUCUGGAGCUGUACUUUGCGCUUGGCUGUAACGAUGCAUCGCAGACGGGGCUUUUGUUUUGCUGAGAAUUCACCAGCAGUGGAGAGGGCUGGCCUUUGGCCUGUAAGGAGUGGGCAGUUUGUCUCACCCCUCACCCUUCAUCAUUCCAGCAUUCACCCCUACCUCCCACCGUUCCCCAGCCCCGCCAGGGUUUCCUGACCCCAUGGAAACCCUCCGUCUGCUCCAUGCUGUCCUCACCAUGAAUCUGGAGGGUCAAGUGGUUGGUGACCAGCAGACCUACCAGCCUGUCCAGAUGGCCAGAUCCCUCAAGCUCAUCACUCGAGCAAUUUUUAACUAUGACCUUCUGGAGUCAGUAUCUCCUGGGGGUCCCCAUGGUGGUCUGUCCCCUUCCUGUCUCUGAAAAGCAGAGACUUUCUCGGGGAAGGAGACAAGGAGGACUGUUACGGUUUGUGAAGGGGGAGCUUGAUCGCCGCCAGCUCAGACAACUUUGUUCUCAGCCCCUGACUUUGGCCUUGAGGACUUUGUGAUUUUUCUCACCUGGUCUCGUCUGCUUAAGCUUCUGGCUAACCUCAGUCGGGAUUUCCCCCCAACCUCUUUAAAGGCACUCCAAGCAGAACUAGGAAAUUCAUCAUUUUCUGGCUGUCAAGGCAGUUCUGGAUUAUGCAGGGAAGAGAUUUUGAGAGCUGGAAGGGCUCGGGGGUCUGGGCCACCUGUGCACAAGUUUAAACCCAGAGGGUUAAGAGGCAGGCCUGCUGACAGUCACCCAUGCUUCAUUGCUCCUUCCAGCCACGGCCUGUAGGAGGAUCAGAGAAGCUUCCCAUUGCCCCGCAAUUGCUGGGACAAUGAAAGUGAUGGGAAUGCCUUUGCUGAGAGCUGACGGCAGUUAAGGUCCAGCAUCUAAGAAUGGAGGGGCCCUUCAAGACAGUGGAGUCAUAUCCUGAGGCCGUAGGCUCGAGGUGGCAGAGCUGGGACUGGCACCUGGCUCUCUCAAACCCUUAGUUCAGUUUUCCCCUCCACCCUUUCUGGGUGCAAGACAAUUAGAGGCGCCCCCUGACCGACUGUCUUUGUCUCUUCCUCUGCUCUCUCCCGGGCCUUCAUCAACCCCCCAAAGACCUAACACUUUAGAAGGGGAGUGUUUACUGUGGAACUAAUCUGUUCUUCUUGGGCCUCUGCCUCCACUUUAAACUUGGUUAAAACCAUUUCCUUAGAAAACAGCCAUCUCUCUGCUGGACCGCUUGCUGCCCACACUGGCUGCCCACGGCAGUCUUAGUGUGUUCAGGCUCCUGUAACAAAAUCCCCCAGAGUGGGUGGCUUUUCAACAGCAGAAUGUCUUCCUCCCGGUCUGGAGGUGGCAGUCUGAGAUGAGGGGGCUGAUGCGGUUAGGGCAGAGUCCUCCUCCAGGUCACAGACUUCUCGUCGCAUCCUUACGUGGUGGAAGGGGCCCGGAGCGCUCUGGGGUCCUUGUUGUAAGGGGCACUAAUCCCAUUCGUAAGGGCUCCACCUUCAUGACCCAGUCACCUCCCAAAGGCCCCACCUUCUAACACCAUCACGUGGGGCAUUAGGAAUCCAACCUAGGAAUUCUGGGGGACAUAGACGUUCAGACCAUAAGAAGGGGUGAUACCUCCCAGCCAGAAAGUGGCGAGGGUCAGCUGAGCAGAGGACGCAGUGGCUGAGGGCCUGCAGGGAGAGUGGUUCCCUUCACCAGUAAUUGUAGAUAGUGACAGUGGGGACAAGUUCCUCUGCUUCCUGCCCCUUGAAAAAUGUCCCCUCUUUGCCACUAAAGACCUCGCUUCCUUUAGCCGUCAGGCCUGGCGCAGAGAGCUGUGUCUGAUGGGGCCUCUAGUUCUUUUUUUUUUUUUUCCUCCCCAUUUCCCUGUUUUGGCUGCCCCGCAUCGCCUGGAGUUCCUGGGCCAGGGAUCAGAUCUGAUCUGUGGUUGUGACCGAAGCCUCAGCUAUAGCAAUGCCGGACCUUGCUGUCCGGGGCUGGGGACAUUAACAUGUAACAUUCGUCUCAGAGCUCCUAAGACGCUGCAGUUCCCAUUGUGCCACAGUGGGAACUCUGGGCCCCCUAGCUCUUGUCCCCCAGAACCUGUACUUGUGGCAUCUGGCUCACUGCUUGGUUGGGAACGGGAGUACAGGUGGCAUCCUUGCUGUGUGACAAAGGGCUCUCGGGCACGCUUUUUUCUCCACGCCGUUUAGAGAUUACAGGUGGACCCGCUCUGUGGAUGGAAGCCUCAGUCCCUUCCUUCUUCAAGGAAAUAUUCGGAAAGCAGCCAGUGCCUGGUCUUCCUCUAAGUGCAGCUUUAUUGGCAUUUGGCGUCUUGUAAUAUAUUUUUAAUAUACUAUGUAUGCUGUAUCUGAGUAAAUCAGUAGGUAUGUUUUGAAAUUAAAUAUUUGCUAAGGGCUAGGUUCGCCCGAUGUUAAAUUAUUGAUAACAAACUUCACAGACACUGUAUGAGACUUGAUGAUAUAUGAGUUUUGAGUGACCUGCCAUUUAUUAGACUUUAUCUGCCCAUGAAAUCCAUUUCCAAUUCAGACCGUAUCUGCUCGGGGAUUGCUUGCCAGAAAUCUAUUCCCAGGUUCCUCCUUAUUUCAGUGAAAUAUCUCUGGCUCAGCACCUUUCCCAAGGUGGCUGAUCUAAUCGGGGCCCAAUCACUUAUCUCUUCUCAUUUCCUUUGGCAGGUCUGUCAAACUGCAGAGUGCAUCUCGGGGACACUCAGAAGCCAUAGGCGACCCACCUCCUUCGCCCUUUUCCUGGAGAGUGGAAAGUGAACUCCCUGAACUAGAGCCCCCCUCUGGGGUCUGUAAACAGAAACAGGACCCACCUGUGUGGUCAGGAAAACAGAAGUGGUCCCCCCCACCCCCGUGUCAGGAGCUGUCAGGAACCUCUCCAUAAUGAACAGUGUUCAGGGACCCUGAGCAAUUAGAGCUCAUUUGCAUGGCGUGGAAGGGCCCUGGGCCCCCUUCCCCGCUGGGCUCUUCCGGCUCCCCCUCCUCUCUGACUUCCCCGGAGACAGGUGCGAGCUUCUGGCUGCUGCAAGGUCCAGCUGGCAGGAGAACUCCAACUUGUCAUCACAGAAAUAAAAUUUGUCACCUCCA